ACGAACGCUGGCGGCGUGCUUAACACAUGCAGGUCGAACGGAAAGGCCCCCAUCUUGGUGGGGGUGCUCGAGUGGCGAACGGGUGAGUAACACGUGGGUGAUCUGCCCUGUACUUCGGGAUAAGCUUGGGAAACUGGGUCUAAUACCGGAUAGGACCAUGGUUUAGUGUCUCAUGGUGGAAAGAUUAUUGUUUUGGUGCAGGAUGAGCUCGCGGCCUAUCAGCUUGUUGGUGGGGUAAUGGCCUACCAAGGCGUCGACGGGUAGCCGGCCUGAGAGGGUGGACGGCCACAUUGGGACUGAGAUACGGCCCAGACUCCUACGGGAGGCAGCAGUGGGGAAUAUUGCACAAUGGGCGCAAGCCUGAUGCAGCGACGCCGCGUGGGGGAUGACGGCCUUCGGGUUGUAAACUCCUUUCGUUAGGGACGAAGCCACGCUUGUUGGGUGUGGUGACGGUACCUUUGUUAAGAAGCACCGGCUAACUACGUG
rnacentral:rRNA from 1 species